GUAGGUGGCAAGCGUUGUCCGGGAAUUAUUGGGGCGUAAAGCGCGCGCAGGCGGUUCUUUAAGUCUGAUGCGAAAGCCCACGGGCUCAACCGUGGAGGGUCAUUGGAAACUGGAGAACUUGAGUACAGAAGAGGAAAGCGGAAUUCCACGUGUAGCGGUGAAAUGCGUAGAGAUGUGGAGGAACACCAGUGGCGAAGGCGGCUUUCUGGUCUGUAACUGACGCUGAGGCGCGAAAGCGUGGGGAGCAAACAGGAUUAGAUACCCUGGUAGUCCACGCCGUAAACGAUGAGUGCUAAGUGUUAGGGGGUUUCCGCCCCUUAGUGCUGCAGCUAACGCAUUAAGCACUCCGCCUGGGGAGUACGGCCGCAAAGGCUG
rnacentral:rRNA from 1 species